rnacentral:rRNA from 1 species
GAUGAACGCUGGCGGCGUGCCUAAUACAUGCAAGUCGAGCGAAGCGGGGGUGGGUAAGUAACACGUGGAUAACCUCCUAUCAGACUGGGAUAACUUCGGGAAACCGGAGCUAAACCGGAUACUUAUAGAUGUAUCUUCGCUGCAUUAGCUAGUUGGUAAGGUAACGGCUUACCAAGGCAACGAUGACUAGCCGACCUGAGAGAGGGAUCGGCCACACUGGACCGUAGACCCGGUCCAGACAUCUACGGGAGGCAGCAUGAGGGAAUCUUCCGCAAAGUGCGAAGGCCUGACGUAGCAACGCCGCGUGAGUGAUGAAGGUCUUCGGAUCGUAAAACUCUGUUAAUAGGGAAGCGGUGCCUAAUCAGAAAGCCACGGCUAACUCCGUGCCUGCAGCCGCGGUAAUAU